rnacentral:rRNA from 1 species
AGAGUUUGAUCAUGGCUCAGGAUGAACGCUGGCGGCGUGCCUAACACAUGGCAAGUCGAGCGAUCUUCUUCGGAAGAGAGCGGCGGACGGGUGAGUAACGCGUGGGUAACCUGCCUCAUACACAUGGAUAACAUACCGAAAGGUAUGCUAAUACAAGAUGAUAUAAGGGAUUCGCAUGGAUUUCUAUCAAAGCUCCGGCGGUAUGAGAUGGACCCGCGUCUGAUUAGCUAGUUGGUAAGGUAACGGCUUACCAAGGCGACGAUCAGUAGCCGACCUGAGAGGGUGAUCGGCCACAUUGGAACUGAGACACGGUCCAAACUCCUACGGGAGGCAGCAGUGGGGAAUAUUGCACAAUGGGCGAAAGCCUGAUGCAGCAACGCCGCGUGAGCGAUGAAGGCCUUCGGGUCGUAAAGCUCUGUCCUCAAGGAAGAUAAUGACGGUACUUGAGGAGGAAGCCCCGGCUAACUACGUG